rnacentral:rRNA from 1 species
UACGGGGGGGCAAGCGUUGUUCGGAAUUACUGGGCGUAAAGGGUGCGUAGGCGGUUUGCUAUGUCGGAUGUGAAAACUCUGGGCUCAACCCAGAGCCUGCAUCCGAAACUGGCGAGCUAGAGUUCUGGAGGGGGUAGCGGAAUUCCUGGUGUAGCGGUGAAAUGCGUAGAUAUCAGGAGGAACACCGGUGGCGAAGGCGGCUACCUGGACUGCACCUGACGCUGACACGCGAAAGCUAGGGGAGCGAACGGG